AUCAAGCGCAUGAAUGGUAUCAUCUUACUGUAGAAACCACGAACGAACCUCAAUCUAUUUCCUUCUCCUUAAAAUAAAAUAGUUUGUUUUCUUUAUUCUAUCCGUGACAGAGGAGCUUCACCUAAUUUUAUACAUAUACAUCCAUAUCAACAAGGUUCAACUGUAGCAGUUACCAUAGCAGCAUUAGCAUAGAAAAACUCAUUCAAAAUUUAUAAAAGCCUUCACUGUUCUCCUUUUCUUCCUAUUGUUCCUUGCUGCACAAAAUCAACUCAAAAGGCUAAUAACAGCAGGUCAGCGAAUGCUGAUGUUGAUUCAAUGUCCUAAAAUCUGAACUGAAUUCCUAUAGUAAAGUAAAAUCACCUACACGAAAGAUCACAAAAUCUUCUUAAAUGGAUUUAUCAUCUUUACUGUGUUCAUUUCUCAGAUCAUGACGUUUCUUUACACUGUUGCAAAUAAUGGAUCUGAUUAUGAGAGAAACCUAUGCGAAUCAAAAGACAUGUUUCUUUCAAGUCCUCUUCCAGCCCUGUUUUUUUUACAGCUUUGUCAUCAUUUUUGCGGUCAUGGUUUUUCUUGCUGCCCUUGAUUUUUGGAUUUUAGUUGCGCUUCGAUGGUGGAAUGAGCAGGGUGAGAGUGUCAGGUUUCAACUUCAAACAUGAUACUAAUUUUUUAAGUUAAAUGGUUUCUACAACAACAGCAACAACAAUUUAUUUUUAAUGCUCAUUGAUUCUGUGCAUCCCAUGCUUUUCCUUUUCUUUGAUGCAGUCAGUCAUUAGCUCGUCUGAACAAGAAGGAUUCUUGGCUAUAUUGGUGGACAUUAUUCCUUAAUGUGCAUGCGAGUAAAUAAAAAUUGGAUGGCUGUUGCGUAUGACCCAUAACAUACUCAUGGUUCUUCUUAGAAUGAUGGGUGAAGUUAUUUUUGUUGCCAGUAACAAUCCUAGGAGCAUACCAAAAUUCUUAGAUAUCUGAAUUGCGAUAAAAUAAGAGUAGAGAUACUUGUCUUAUGCUCUGAUUUUAUUCAUCUCAUUUAAGUAUAAAACUUUGGUGAUGUUUUGCCUAAUACCAGGUGCGCAAGAAAUAAAAAAAUGUUGGGAUCUUUUGUUAUUAUGUUGAGAUGUUGGUGUAGAUGAGUGGUAAGAUAUGCUUAUAUUAUGCAUUACACGAAAACUUGAAGUCUGCAAGAGAGGGUGAAGAACAAAGAAUUUGAAUUUGUCAAUAGUACGGAGCAAUAUGGUUUCAACAUGCUGCAUAUGAUGAGGGCGAUCAACGGCAAAAAAACUGUUGAUUGAUAUGGCUGCUGCUUGGGUCAUCCUUGGAAUAUUUUCAGUUAAAAGGUUUGAGGCUGAUUAUGUCCUUGUAGUUGCUGUUUGUGCAAGCCUCGGCAUAGCAAACAUUGUUGCAUUCACCAAGUGCCGCAAAGGUUUGGAUAUUUCAAACUUUCUGUGCCAGUAUUAUCCAACUUUUAUGUCAAUAUUGGGAACGUUUUAUCGUGUCAAUAUCGCCAUGCUUUCUUUUGGCAGCAUCUGCUGGGGAUCAGAUUUCAACUGAAAGUAAAUACCAUGUUGUUCUGACAAGUCCAGUUGUCCUAAAAUUUUUGCUUAUUGGGAAAUGGUUACGGGUUACUGCGAUCACCAGAACCGUGAGACUUUUUUCAUAAGCAUGUCACGAAUACAAUCUUUACUUGCCUUUGAACAAGAUUAGGAGCUGUUUCUUGCAUAAAAACUUGGUGGAAUAAAUCCUAUGUCGCUCAAAACAACAGUAUUUUGCCUGCAUUACUACAGUUUAGAAGUUGCAUUUUUGGAGUGGACUUUGUCUAUGUUCUUGGUUUAUAAUUUGAUACCACACAGCAUCAGUUCCUUAACAUUAUUAGCAUGAAUGAUUUUACCCUCAUGUUACUGUAGUUUGUUUUUCUUGGUUACUAUGUGAACAAUUAAAAUUCUUUAAAGCAAUCUUAUGCAUAGCCACUUUGAAGCUUCAGUCCAAAACUAGAUUUUCUUUUCUUGUACUGAAGGGUACUCUGUUCAUAUUCAGAUGCCAAGAAGCAAAUUCAAGGAUUUGCAUCCCAGGCUCUUGCGUCUCAUUUCACAUCUUCCAUACGGUCUGCACUUGGUGCAGUGUAAGUUGUCUAAACAGAAAUUAUCCAGAUAUUUCACAUCUUUCUGCUUCUGUGAUGGCCAAUUGCGGGUAAGUACCACUGUACAGUCAUUUUUGGAAUUUCUAAAUCCCUUUUAUUUUUUAAAAUACACAAAGACAGUGCGAGAGAUAUAUGUAAAGAUAGAGAGAACAAAGAAGCUGCAAAAGGUUUUCCAAAUUCAUCUGUUCUUUAAUAAAAAAAUGUCAUUAACUGUA